UAAUACGAAGGGUGCAAGCGUUACUCGGAAUUACUGGGCGUAAAGCGUGCGUAGGUGGUCUGUUAAGUCUGAUGUGAAAGCCCUGGGCUCAACCUGGGAACGGCAUUGGAUACUGGCAGACUGGAGUGCGGUAGAGGAUAGCGGAAUUCCCGGUGUAGCAGUGAAAUGCGUAGAUAUCGGGAGGAACAUCUGUGGCGAAGGCGGCUAUCUGGACCAGCACUGACACUGAGGCACGAAAGCGUGGGGAGCAAACAGGAUUAGAUACCCUGGUAGUCCACGCCCUAAACGAUGCGAACUGGAUGUUGGGUGCACUUAGGCACUCAGUAUCGAAGCUAACGCGUUAAGUUCGCCGCCUGGGGAGUACGGUCGCAAGACUG
rnacentral:rRNA from 1 species